CAAAUGGAGAGUUUGAUCCUGGCUCAGGAUAAACGCUGGCGGCGUGCCUAAUACAUGCAAGUCGAACGGAGUUUUGACUGAAGAAGAAGUGUUUACAUGGAAUCUGAUUUUAAAACUUAGUGGCGAACGGGUGAGUAAUGCAUAAGUAACCUACCUAUAAGGACUGGGAUAACGUUUGGAAACGAACGCUAAUACCGGAUAAGUAAUAAGAAGGCAUCUUCAUAUUAUUAAAGGUUAGAAACACAAAUAGAUGGGCUUAUGUUGUAUUAGCUAGUUGGUGAGGUAACUGCUCACCAAGGCGAUGAUACAUAGCCGGCCUGAGAGGGUGAUCGGCCACAUUGGGACUGAGACACGGCCCAAACUCCUACGGGAGGCAGCAGUAGGGAAUUUUCGGCAAUGGGGGAAACCCUGACCGAGCAACGCCGCGUGUGCGAUGAAGGUCUUCGGAUCGUAAAGCACUGUUGUAAAGGAAGAAUAGCCAUAUUAGAAAUAUGGUCUGACGGUACUUUAUCAGAAAGCCACGGCUAACUACGUGCCAGCAGCCGCGGUAAUACGUAGGUGGCGAGCGUUAUCCGGAAUUAUUGGGCGUAAAGGGUGCGUAGGCGGCAUGUUAAGUUUGUGGUGAAAGCGUGGGGCUCAACCCCAUUAAGCCACAGAUACUGGCAAGCUAGAGUGCAGAAGAGGGUAGUGGAAUUCCAUGUGUAGCGGUAAAAUGCGUAGAUAUAUGGAGGAACACCAGUGGCGAAGGCGGCUACCUGGUCUGUAACUGACGCUCAGGCACGAAAGCGUGGGGAGCAAAUAGGAUUAGAUACCCUAGUAGUCCACGCCGUAAACGUUGAAUACUAAGUGUUGGAGAAAUUCAGUGCUGCAGUUAACGCAAUAAGUAUUCCGCCUGUGGAGUAUGCACGCAAGUGUGAAACAUAAAGGAAUUGACGGGGGCCCGCACAAGCGGUGGAGUAUGUGGUUUAAUUCGAAGCAACGCGAAGAACCUUACCAGGCCUUGACAUCCCUUGCAAAAGCAUAGAGAUAUGCCAGAGGUUAUCAAGGUGACAGGUGGUGCAUGGUUGUCGUCAGCUCGUGUCGUGAGAUGUUGGGUUAAGUCCCGCAACGAGCGCAACCCCUAUCUUUAGUUACCAUCAUUUAGUUGGGGACUCUAGAGAGACUGCCGGUGAUAAGCCGGAGGAAGGUGGGGAUGAGGUCAAAUCAUCAUGCCCCUUAUGGCCUGGGCUACACACGUACUACAAUGGCUACUACAGCGAGCAGCUAGUCAGCGAUGACACGCAAAUCUCACAAAGGUAGUCUCAGUUCGGAUCGAAGUCUGCAACUCGACUUCGUGAAGCAGGAAUCGCUAGUAAUCGCAGAUCAGAAUGCUGCGGUGAAUACGUUCUCGGGCCUUGUACACACCGCCCGUCAAACCAUGAGAGUUGGUAAUGCCCGAAGCCGGUGGCCUAACCGUAAGGAAGGAGCCGUCGAAGGUAGGAUCGAUGAUUGGGGUUAAGUCGUAACAAGGUAUCCCUACGGGAACGUGGGGAUGGAUCACCUCCUUUCUAAGGAGA
rnacentral:rRNA from 1 species